AUGAACGCUAGCGAUAGGCUUAACAAUGCAAGUCGAGGGGCAUCACGAGGUAGCAAUACUUUGGUGGCGACCGGCGUACGGGUGCGUAACACGUAUGCAACCUUCCUGUAAGUGUGGGAUAGCCUCCUGAAAGGGAGAUUAAUACCUCAUGAUAUGUAUUUGCUGCAUGGCAUUUACAUUAAACAUUUAUGGCUUACAGAUGGGCAUGCGUUCCAUUAGGCAGUUGGUGUGGUAACGGCUCACCAAACCUACGAUGGAUAGGGGUUCUGAGAGGAAGGUCCCCCACACUGGAACUGAGACACGGUCCAGACUCCUACGGGAGGCAGCAGUGAGGAAUAUUGGUCAAUGGGCGCGAGCCUGAACCAGCCACGUCGCGUGAAGGAUGACGGCCUUAUGGGUUGUAAACUUCUUUUACAGGGGAAUAAAGUGAGUCACGUGUGAUUUUUUGCAUGUACCCUGUGAAUAAGCAUCGGCUAACUCCGUG
rnacentral:rRNA from 1 species